rnacentral:rRNA from 1 species
AAUAUUGCACAAUGGGCGAAAGCCUGAUGCAGCGACGCCGCGUGAGUGAAGAAGGUCUUCGGAUCGUAAAACUCUGUCCUUGGUGAAGAAAAAAAUGACGGUAGCCAAGGAGGAAGCCCCGGCUAACUACGUGCCAGCAGCCGCGGUAAUACGUAGGGGGCUAGCGUUGUCCGGAUUUACUGGGCGUAAAGGGUGAGUAGGCGGUUAUGUAUGUCAGAUGUAAAAGGCGUGGGCUUAACCUACGUUAGCAUUUGAAACUGUACAACUUGAGUGCGGGAGAGGUAAGUGGAAUUCCUAGUGUAGCGGUGAAAUGCGUAGAUAUUAGGAGGAACACCAGUGGCGAAGGCGACUUACUGGACCGUAACUGACGCUGAGUCACGAAAGCGUGGGUAGCAAACAGG